AUUGAACGCUGGCGGCAGGCCUAACACAUGCAAGUCGAGCGGUUGAGGGGAGCUUGCUCCCUGAUUCAGCGGCGGACGGGUGAGUAAUGCCUAGGAAUCUGCCUAUUAGUGGGGGACAACGUUUCGAAAGGAACGCUAAUACCGCAUACGUCCUACGGGAGAAAGCAGGGGACCUUCGGGCCUUGCGCUAAUAGAUGAGCCUAGGUCGGAUUAGCUAGUUGGUGAGGUAAUGGCUCACCAAGGCGACGAUCCGUAACUGGUCUGAGAGGAUGAUCAGUCACACUGGAACUGAGACACGGUCCAGACUCCUACGGGAGGCAGCAGUGGGGAAUAUUGGACAAUGGGCGAGAGCCUGAUCCAGCCAUGCCGCGUGUGUGAAGAAGGUCUUCGGAUUGUAAAGCACUUUAAGUUGGGAGGAAGGGUUGUAGAUUAAUACUCUGCAAUUUUGACGUUACCGACAGAAUAAGCACCGGCUAACUCUGUGCCAGCCGCCGCAGUAACAC
rnacentral:rRNA from 1 species